AUUGAACGCUGGUGGAAUGCUUUACACAUGCAAGUCGAACGGUAGAGGGGGCAACCCCUUGAGAGUGGCGAACGGGUGAGUAAUAUAUCGGAACGUGCCCAGUCGUGUGGGAUAACGUAGCGAAAGUUACGCUAAUACCGCAUACGAUCUAAGGAUGAAACCGGGGGAUCGCAAGACCUCGCGCGACUGGAGCGGCCGAUAUCAGAUUAGGUAGUUGGUAGGGUAAAGUCCUACCAAGCCACCGACCUGAAGCGGGUCUGAGAGGACGACCAGCCACACUGGACCUGAGACACGGUCCAGACUCCUACGGGAGGCAGCAGUCGGGAAUUUUGGACAAUGGGCGAAAGCCUGAUCCAGCCAUCCCGCGUGCAGGAUGAAGGCGCUCGGGUUGUAAACUGCUUUUGUACAGAACGAAAAGGUUUCUAUUCAUACGAGGAGCUCAUGACGGUACUGUAAGAAUAAGCACCGGCUAACUACGUG
rnacentral:rRNA from 1 species